UUUCCGUAGGUGAACCUGCGGAAGGAUCAUUCAUAAUAAGUGUUUUAUGGCACUUUUUUAAAUCCAUAUCCACCUUGUGUGCAAUGUCAGGGUUGAUUUUUCUCUCGAGAGGAUCAACCCCAAACAUCAACUAUAUCUCAACUCUUUGUCUGAAAAAUAUUUUGAAUAAAACAAUUCAAAAUACAACUUUCAACAACGGAUCUCUUGGCUCUC
rnacentral:misc_RNA from 1 species